GUUCUUAUAGCUUAACCAAAGCAUAACACUGAAGAUGUUAAGAUGGUUGCUUCACGCACCUAAGGACA
rnacentral:tRNA from 1 species